rnacentral:lncRNA from 1 species
AUUUCUAAGUUAAAAUAUGUAACAUGCUACAGUAAUUUUCAUUAUUUACUGAAAAUGUUGUGUUUAUUAUUUCCUUUUAGUAAAUAGAAAAAAAAAUCUUAGUCCCUCUAUGACUUUAAUAUUACUGUGAAAUUUAUGAGUUGUAAAAAUCUUAAAAGGCUUGUUUAUUAAUAUUUUUACUUUUAUUUUUGUAUUAAACAAUUGAUUAUGUAUUUUUAAAUUUUACUUUAUUUUAAAUUUUAUGUACUUUUAAUUACUAUGAAGUUGGUUAUUCUACUAACAUACUAUGACCUAGGACGGUUAGGAGACAUGAAAAAAUACUUGGAGAAGAUGUAUCCUCAAGUUAUUAGCAUGUUAAAUACCCUAAUUUCUUUUCAGACUGACAGGAGCAAGAAUGAUGGGGAAUAUUUGCUUUUGACAUUACAUUUAAUAAUUUCUUGUGAUGAAGAUCACAAUAUGUUGGGUUUUUUUGAACUAUUUCUGGCAAUUUUUCAAACAAAAAAAUUGAUACUCUAUGUAGAGUCUUGUCACUGUUGAUUAGUAUGUUUAAAAUAAUUGAAGAAUAAAAAGACAUUAGAUUUUAAUAGUAAGCUCUGCACAAAGUGAAACUUGGAAAGAGAUUUAUCACACUAAUGAUAAUAAUCUUGUACAAAAUAUAGUCCACUUACAUAACUAGUCAAAACCACAAAGGAGAAAAUAAUAGUUACUGCAACUCUGAAAUGAAAUAUCCAUUCUCUAGGGAGGUAAGGU